rnacentral:rRNA from 1 species
GCAGCGCGGGGCAACCUGGCGGCGAGUGGCGAACGGGUGAGUAAUAUAUCGGAACGUACCCAAGAGUGGGGGAUAACGCAGCGAAAGUUGCGCUAAUACCGCAUACGAUCCAAGGAUGAAAGCAGGGGACCGCAAGGCCUUGUGCUCCUGGAGCGGCCGAUAUCUGAUUAGCUAGUUGGUGAGGUAAAGGCUCACCAAGGCGACGAUCAGUAGCUGGUCUGAGAGGACGACCAGCCACACUGGAACUGAGACACGGUCCAGACUCCUACGGGAGGCAGCAGUGGGGAAUUUUGGACAAUGGGCGCAAGCCUGAUCCAGCAAUGCCGCGUGAGUGAAGAAGGCCUUCGGGUUGUAAAGCUCUUUUGUCAGGGAAGAAACGGCUGUGGCUAAUAUCCACGGCUAAUGACGGUACCUGAAGAAUAAGCACCGGCUAACUACGUGCCAGCAGCCGCGGUAAUACGUAGGGUGCAAGCGUUAAUCGGAAUUACUGGGCGUAAAGCGUGCGCAGGCGGUUUUGUAAGUCUGACGUGAAAUCCCCGGGCUUAACCUGGGAAUUGCGUUGGAGACUGCAAGGCUAGAAUCUGGCAGAGGGGGGUAGAAUUUCACGUGUAGCAGUGAAAUGCGUAGAGAUGUGGAGGAACAUCUGAUGGCGAAGGCAGCUCUCCUGGGUCAAGAUUGACGCUCAUGCACGAAAGUGUGGGGAGCAAACAGGAUUAGAUAUCCUGGUAGUCUACGUUCUAAACGAUGUCUACUAGUUGUCGGGUCUUAAUUGACUUGGUAACGCAGCUAACGCGUGAAGUA